rnacentral:lncRNA from 1 species
CAAUAAUGUAUACUCUAUGUAUUGUUAAUAGAGACACAUGCCAAAUUACUGAAAAUUUAGUCAGAUAAGAGGGAAAGCAGUCAUCGGGGAUCACUGAGCAAUUCUUAACAAUAAAGGCUGGUUUCUAAUAAUGUUCUGAAAGGAAAAAUUAUCACAGUGUUUCUUCAACUAUCCCAGCUGCUUCGAUUUCUCCACCAGAAAGAACAGGAGAGAGCAAGAGAAGAACAAGUUCUCGUGGGAUAGAUGGAG